UACGUAGGGCGCGAGCGUUGUCCGGAAUUAUUGGGCGUAAAGAGCUCGUAGGCGGUCUGUCGCGUCGGCUGUGAAAACCCGGAGCUCAACUCCGGGCCUGCAGUCGAUACGGGCAAACUGGAGUACUGCAGGGGAGACUGGAAUUCCUGGUGUAGCGGUGAAAUGCGCAGAUAUCAGGAGGAAACACCGGUGGCGGAAGGCGGCUCUCUGGGACGGUAACUGACGCUGAGACGCGAAAGCGUGGGGAGCGAACAGG
rnacentral:rRNA from 1 species